CCUACGGGUGGCAGCAGUGGGGAAUAUUGGGCAAUGGGCGCAAGCCUGACCCAGCAACGCCGCGUGAAGGAUGAAGGUUUUCGGAUUGUAAACUCCUUUUUUUAUAGCAGUUAAUGACGGUAUCUAACGAAUAAUCAACGGCUAACUCCGUGCCAGCAGCCGCGGUAAUACGGAGGGAGCAAGCGUUACUCGGAUUCACUGGGCGUAAAGAGCGCGAAGGCGGGUUGUCAAGUCAGAUGUGAAAUUCUAUGGCUUAACCAUAGCACGGCAUUGGAAACUGUUAUUCUAGAGUAUGGGAGAGGUAGGUGGAAUUCUUGGUGUAGGGGUAAAAUCCGUAGAGAUCAAGAGGAAUACUGAUUGCGAAGGCGACCUGCUAGAACAUAACUGACGCUGAGGCGCGAAAGCGUGGGGAGCAAACAGGAUUAGAUACCCCUGUAGUC
rnacentral:rRNA from 1 species